rnacentral:rRNA from 1 species
GAGCACGUAGGUGGGUUUGUAAGUCGGUUGUGAAAGCCUUCCGCUCAACGGGAGAACGGCAGCCGAUACUGCAAAGCUUGAGUGCGGGAGGGGAGAGUGGAACUUCUGGUGGAGCGGUGAAAUGCGUAGAUAUCAGAAGGAACGCCGGCGGCGAAAGCGGCUCUCUGGCCCAUAACUGACGCUGAGUGUGCGAAAGCUAGGGGAGCAAACGGGAUUAGAUACCCCGGUAGUCCUAGCCGUAAACGAUGGGCACUAAGUAGAGGGGUUUU